rnacentral:rRNA from 1 species
UACGAAGGGGGCUAGCGUUGUUCGGAUUUACUGGGCGUAAAGCGCACGUAGGCGGAUCGUUAAGUCAGGGGUGAAAUCCUGGAGCUCAACUCCAGAACUGCCUUUGAUACUGGCGAUCUUGAGUCCGGAAGAGGUGAGUGGAACUCCUAGUGUAGAGGUGGAAUUCGUAGAUAUUAGGAAGAACACCAGUGGCGAAGGCGGCUUACUGGUCCAUUACUGACGCUGAGGUGCGAAAGCGUGGGGAGCAAACAGG